ensembl:snRNA U6 U6 spliceosomal RNA
GUGCUUGCUUCGGCAGCACAUAUGCUAAAAAAUCGGAAUGAUACAGAAAAGAUUAGCGUGGACCCUGCACAAGGAUGACACCCAACAAGAUGUCUAUUUAGAAAUGGUU